UACGGGGGGGGCAAGCGUUGUUCGGAAUUACUGGGCGUAAAGGGCUCGUAGGUGGCCAACUAAGUCGGACGUGAAAUCCCUCAGCUUAACUGGGGAACUGCGUCCGAUACUGGAUGGCUCGAGUUUGGGAGAGGGAUGCGGAAUUCCAGGUGUAGCGGUGAAAUGCGUAGAUAUCUGGAGGAACACCGGUGGCGAAGGCGGCAUCCUGGACCAACACUGACACUGAGGCGCGAAAGCUAGGGUAGCAAACGGG
rnacentral:rRNA from 1 species